rnacentral:ncRNA from 1 species
AUGAAUGGAUUAACGAGAUUCCUACUGUCCCUAUCUACUAUCUAGCGAAACCACAGCCAAGGCAACGGGCUUGACUCUAGACCGACUUUGUGAAAUGACAUGGCGAAUGUAGAAAUUAGUGGGACGUUCAGUACAAUUGCAAGGGUUGGCGCCUUGUGUGGUGGAUGGUGUCGGGAGCGCCAAUGACAACCACUAGCAUCAUUGUUUUUCUACUUAUUGAGUGGCGUAAGGUAAGCAUUGAAAAGCUUAUGGUGCAUUGGCAUUGAAACACAUACUGACGGGUGGGAUAGAGGGGGGUGUGGCACCCACAUCUGGUGCCUGCUGUGCACUCUCCACUCUGUGCUCUGUCAGUGGCCUUAGUCGCGGCUGGCUGACUGCAGUGUGUUUGUUUGCGCACCCAAUCCCGUUACGUGCAUACCAGCCUUGCCUACCACAACAACAACUACUGCUACUAUCAUUGAUCGCAACUAAUAUUUGUUGUAGCGAUAGCAGCACUGGCGGUGGCAGUUAUGUGUGUGUCGUGGAGCAAGAGGAGGAAUGGCGACUGAACACAGUAGUGUCAUAAGUCGGAGAUUGAUGUGCGUAGUGCGACCAGAUCUGAAGACAUUGUCAGGCGGAAAGUUUGACUGAGGCAGUACAUCUGUCGAGUCGUAACGCAGGUGUUCCAAGGUGAGCUCAGCCAGGACAGAAACCUGGCGUAGAGUAGAAGGGCAAAAGCUCACUUGA